UGUCUUUCGACCAGCCGUUCUGACCCCUUGGCUCUUGUCUCCGGACGAGUGGCCUGCGGGCUCCGGUUGGUCCUGAUGGCGGAAUGACCGUUCCAGCACCUGAGGCGUGAUGGGUCUUUGUGCGUCGAUGUGCUCCCUGCAACCGUGCAGCCGUCCGUCGUCGUCUCCCUCCUUUCGCUGUCCCUGCCGACCGCGCUACCGCGUGCGUUCCUCCAGAGCCUGCCUGUGCGAUGUAUUGCUGUUUUCCUACGGAAAGUGGUGUGAAGGUUGCCUACAUAAAGUGCCUCCGCUUGCCCUCUGCCCUUCUGGGUUGCGGCGAGCGGCUACGCAAACGUUUGCCCCGUUAGCUUGGUCGGAUCGAUUUGUGCCUUGGCGCUGUCGUCCCCCGAUCGUCCCUUUCGGUGGCUGCCGUAAGCGCUCUCGGACUCGGGAAAUGCUCCUUGCGGCUGGGCGGGGGUCUGCAGGCCCCCCGCCCCCCCGCGUAAGGUCUUAUUGGAGGUCGGUCGCCCUCUGCUCGGACGACCCUCGGCUCCUUGUCUUGCGCCCGUCCGUAGUGCGCCCUCUGCGGUGUUUCGGACGUGCGCCGCGGGCGCCG
rnacentral:misc_RNA from 1 species